GGAGAGGUGGCAGAGUGGUCGAAUGUACCUGACUCGAAAUCAGGCGUACGUUUAUAGCGUACCGUGGGUUCGAAUCCCACCCUCUCCG
rnacentral:tRNA from 3 species